rnacentral:tRNA from 1 species
GUCCCUGUCGUCUAGCCCGGUCUAGGACACCGCCCUUUCACGGCGGCAACACGGGUUCGAAUCCCGUCAGGGACG